rnacentral:lncRNA from 1 species
CUAAACUUAUCAAACAUGCAUCAAACCUAUUCCACAACACACAAACACAAGCAUACAUGUUCCUAGGGGUCUCAAACCAUCAUAAACCCCAUCUACAACACAUCAAGCAACUCACAUUGUUCAAGAACACACAUUUAUACCCAUAAACAUAACCAUAACCUAAACAUGCAUUCUAACCCAUAGAUCUUGCAUAAAACUUAUUUAAAACAUAAAACGAGCUUAAGAUCGGCUCUUACCUCUUGAAGAUCGAGAGAGACGACCAAAAACUCGGAGUUGGGAGAGAUUUGGUUCUUGAACCUCCAAGCUCCAAAACUUUGCUCAAAAGCUUAAAUCUUCAAAACCAAGUUAAAACAAG